AACGAACGCUGGCGGCAUGCCUAGCACAUGCAAGUCGAACGAGACCUUCGGGUCUAGUGGCGCACGGGUGCGUAACGCGUGGGAAUCUGCCCUUGGGUUCGGAACAACUCGCCGAAAGGCGUGCUAAUACUGGACGAUGUCGUAAGACCAAAGAUUUAUCGCCCAGGGAUGAGCCCGCGUAAGAUUAGGUAGUUGGUGAGGUAAAGGCUCACCAAGCCGACGAUCUUUAGCUGGUCUGAGAGGAUGAUCAGCCACACUAGGACUGAGACACGGCCCAG
rnacentral:rRNA from 1 species